rnacentral:rRNA from 1 species
UACGGAGGGUGCAAGCGUUGUUCGGGAUCAUUGGGUACGUAAGCGCGUGUGAGCGGCUUGGCAAGUCGGUUGUGAAACCCCGGGGCUCAACCCCGGAACUGCAUCCGAUACUGCGUGGCUAGAGGUAGGUAGGGGAGAUCGGAAUUCCUGGUGUAGCGGUGAAAUGCGCAGAUAUCAGGAGGAACACCGGUGGCGAAGGCGGAUCUCUGGGCCUUACCUGACGCUGAGGCGCGAAAGCUAGGGGAGCAAACAGG